AACGCAUCUUGCGCUCCUUGGUAUCCCGAGGAGCAUGCCUGUUUGAGUGUCAUGAAAUUCUCAACCCUCUGUCUCCUCUUAGAGGCCUUUGGUGUUUGGAAUGUGGGAGUGUGCCGUUGUUCCUUCAAGGGAUAGAGGCUCUCCUGAAAUGCAUCAGUAAACCCAGCUUUCUGUCUUAGGGUUGUUGAAGCUUUGGUUUGAUAGUCCUCUGUCUGUCUAUGUCCCAUUGCUCCAACUAGAGUACCCCAAAAACUUUGGACUGUCUGGAUGUACUGCAGAUUACUCUCCUUUUUGACACUUUGACCUCAAAUCAGGUAGGACUACCCGCUGAACUUAA
rnacentral:misc_RNA from 1 species